rnacentral:lncRNA from 1 species
UAGCCAACCAGGACACGCCGCGUGGCAGAGACGCUGACGCAGGAAGGCCACGCGGAACGGGCCACAUGGGCAAUCCGCAUGCACGCGAUCGGACGGCUGAGAUCCGUUCCCCCGCAAGCGGACGGCCCAGAUUGAAUCACGCACGGACGGCCCAGAUCGCAUCACGAUGGACGGCCCAGAUUCAUUUCCAAUUUAAUCAUGAUCGGACGGUUCAGAUUAAAUCGUGAUGGACGGCUCAGAUUAAAAGGGGAAGGUUAUAAAUAAUCUCAUAUACACCCAACCCCAAAC